GCNGCUGGGGCUCAUCGCCUUCGGGGUCUGGUUCGCCCACAGCCGCGGAUACUUCCAAAGAAAAGACACCGGCUCCAAGAAGGUGAUUUACAGCCAGCCCUCACAGCGCAGCGACGGCGACUUCCGGCAGACGUCCUCGUUCCUGGUGUGAGCCUCGUUCCCGGCUGCGGCCGCUCCGUGAUUUUACCGAUUUUGGGGC